UUUUUGUAAAAGGGUCAAAGUAAAUACUUUGUCAAAAUUUUAUGAAAAUUUAACGAGCAAAGGUGUUGGGUACCAUCUUAAUUGCCAUUCUUUUGUUAUUCUUUGUUCAAUUUGUAUUUAAUUUAUAUUGUUUUAUCAAUUCACAUUAUUUUAAGAAGGAUAACUAAAAACAGAAUCAAACAUGGGAAGUAACUAGGAAUUUCUUAGAAGUGUUUUUAAUAACACAAAGCUUAAUUAGUACGAAGUUUGACACCCUAGCUGUCAAGUGAAGCUAUUUACUUUCACAUGGUCUGUGAUUUAAAUGUAGCAUAACCCUCAUCAGUGACACAAAAACGGAGUAAAUGAUGACUUGUCAUUCAAGGUUAAAAUAUCCAAAAGAGGAAGAUUCUAUACUCCCAUACGGGAGAUUUCCCGAAUUUCGCCAUUUGAGCGGGAAUCUCCCGC
rnacentral:lncRNA from 1 species